UAGGGAAUAUUGCAAAAUGGGCGAAAGCCCGAUGCAGCAACGCCGCGUGGGCGAUGAAGGCCUUCGGGUCGUAAAGCCCUUUUUGAGGGGAUGAGGAAGGACAGUACCCUCAGAAUAAGCCUCGGCUAACUACGUGCCAGCAGCCGCGGUAAAACGUAGGAGGCGAGCGUUAUCCGGAUUUACUGGGCGUAAAGCGCGUGCAGGCGGAUUGGAGAGUUGGAUGUGAAAGCUCCCGGCUUAACUGGGAGAGGUCGUUCAAUACUUCCAGUCUUGAGUGCAGUAGAGGGAAGUGGAAUUCCUGGUGUAGCGGUGAAAUGCGUAGAUAUCAGGAGGAACACCGGCGGUGUAGACGGCUUGCUAGACCAUAACUGACGCUGAGGCACGAAAGCGUGGGUAGCAAACA
rnacentral:rRNA from 1 species